GAUGAACGCUGGCGGCGUGCCUAACACAUGCAAGUCGAACGGAGAUUACAGACGGAAGUUUUCGGAUGGAAGACUGUAAUUCUUAGUGGCGGACGGGUGAGUAACGCGUGGGCAACCUGCCCUAUACAGGGGGAUAGCAGCUGGAAACGGCUGGUAAGACCGCAUAAGUCGGCGAGACCGCAUGGUUUUGUCGGGAAAUGAGCAAUCAGGUAUAGGAUGGGCCCGCGUCCGAUUAGCCAGUUGGCAGGGUAAAAGCCUACCAAAGCAACGAUCGGUAGCCGGACUGAGAGGUCGGACGGCCACAUUGGGACUGAGACACGGCCCAAACUCCUACGGGAGGCAGCAGUGGGGGAUAUUGCACAAUGGAGGAAACUCUGAUGCAGCGACGCCGCGUGAGUGAAGAAGUAUUUCGGUAUGUAAAGCUCUAUCAGCAGGGAAGAUGAUGACGGUACCUGACUAAGAAGCCCCGGCUAACUACGUGCCAGCAGCCGCGGUAAUACGUAGGGGGCAAGCGUUAUCCGGAUUUACUGGGUGUAAAGGGAGCGCAGGCGGUUUGGCAAGUUGAGAGUGGAAGCAGGGGGCUCAACCCCCUGACUGCUCCCAAAACUGUUAAACUUGAGUAUGGGAGAGGCAGGCGGAAUUCCUAGUGUAGCGGUGAAAUGCUUAGAUAUUAGGAAGAACACCGGUGGCGAAGGCGGCCUGCUGGACCAAAACUGACGCUGAGGCUCGAAAGCGUGGGUAGCAAACAGG
rnacentral:rRNA from 1 species